rnacentral:lncRNA from 1 species
UUAGCAUAGUAACCUAUUUCUAAAGUGGGUGGCACAAGCACAACUUACAAUUGAAUUGAUAUUAGAUUCACCAGUGAUUUUUCAACUCAAACACUUAUUUCUCUGUCAUGACACGGAUGAUGGAAGGUCCAAUAACACUCACAAAUUAACCACUUCUUCCAAAAUUGAGUGAAGAAUAAUUACUUUGUCAUGCUGGCAGAAGGUGUCAUCAGUCAAUUCUACAAGUAUGACUUGUCCAAGUUACAUGUGCUAAUCAACUUGAGCAUUAAUUCCAUGUAUAAACAUAACAUUUCAAAAAUAGCACAAAAAUUCAAGAAUGCAGGGUCAAAGGAGUAAUCGUGGUUUUCAUUGAUCAAAUAGAUCUACUUCAACUGAAAUCACGCUUGGAAAGGAUGUACAAUUAGCUAAAAGAAGCGGUGUUGUAGAGAAAUUGAUUGUAAAAGAGAGAAAUCGGUCACAUUAAAAUAACCUUUGAUGGAGGUUCUUUUGAUAUCCAAUAACUGCUUAGUUUGAGGAGAGAGAAUUGAGUCCAUCUGAUAACUGAUUCAACUUGACUUAAUUUUUAAUCAGUGGUAAAUCUAAAGCUAUAAUGGUGGCAUAAAACAACUGGUGUCUCCAUAGUAACAAGUAACAACUCUUUGGAUGCUAAAAAUUGAAAGAGUAACUGGAUUAUAUAUAAAUUAACUAUUUACAUUAUUAAGAAUUAAUUUAUUGUGCCACAGCAGAUCAUGUUUAUUCUAGAAUAACUCGAAUUCAGCGGCCACCGGCAGGUAGGCUAUAACCAUAGUGGUGUACAGAGAGAGGACCGCAUCAAGGUGAAGCAAAUGUAUAGAAUAUGAGAGUUGGAAAACCCAUUGAAAUAAGAUUUUAUGCAAGGCAUAUCAUAGAAAAUAGCAUAAUUUCUUAAUAUAUUUUGACUAACGGGGCCAAGGAAAUCAAUUGCUCAAAGUCAAUUGUGCUUCUCCUGCAGCACACGAUAUGAAUUUAAAUCCAAACAUCAAAUAAGAUCAAUGCAGGGUGGCAGAAAUUACUUAAACUUGAUAAAAUUUGGCAUGUAAGCAAUGAUAGAAACAACUGUCAUUUCUACCAUGAAUCACAUAAACUAUUUAUUUAUAACGUGAAAGAAGUAUAAAUGAAAGAACACAUGAGUUUUCAUCAGUGUGAAUGUUGGGGUACAUAUUGGUGAUUCCAUCAGAGUUCGGUGUAACAUAGAAGAAAUCCUUGACACAAGUGGCCAGUCUACCUCAUUCAGAGGAAAGACAUCAAUAUUAAGAGCCAGCCAGCUACUAAAAUUGGUGGAAGCUAAAGAAGAAACCCCCAGACAAGGAUAUUCAAAAUGCAUUAUUUGACACAGAAACUACCUAUCAAAAUAAUAAUAAUAAUAAUAAUAAUUUUUUGACACAGAAACUACUUCCAGAAAAGUAUUGGAAAACAAGUUUGCAUAUCUACAUAAGAUGUAAUUAAUCCAUGUGUCUGGAAUGCAUAAAAAGACCUUAAUUGGAGGAAUUUUUUUAGUUACUGUCAAAAGCCUUAAACUACCAUAUGAAUUUAAUUAAUGUUUCAUUUCAAUAAAUUUUUUGCAAUUGAUCCUUUAUCAUGUCAUUCCGAACAGGACCUAAUGCAGCGGAGGAAUGUCCCACAUACUGUUAUCCAUUUAUCAUAGAUCAGACAAUCACCUAUCCUAUCUUGCUCCAGUUACCAUUAGAAUUUUGUUUGAAGUAAAGAAAAAAGAGAGUAUAUUAUAUUAUUCAACAAUGUAAUCAAGUUGUUAACUGUUAUGAGGUCUGUAAUCAAGUCAUCCAUACAUCUUUAUGCAAUUGCAUAGCACUUCUACUAGAAGUGGUUUCGCCUCCUGACAUUUCUUUUCUUUUUUCAAAGAAAGGGCACUAAAGUCAAUGCUUACCUGCAAAGCCUUUUCCUAUAUGAGUUUGAGCCCAAGGAAUUUUCUCGUUAGGACCAAGUUUUUCAUGAAUAUAUCCCUGUGCAUUAAAAAAAUCAAUUAGAUAUGCAAUAUAUGAUGAUGAAAACACAUCAUGCUCACAUGUAAGUCAGAAAUU